AACGAACGCUGGCGGCAGGCCUAACACAUGCAAGUCGAGCGCGCCCUUCGGGGUGAGCGGCGGACGGGUGAGUAACGCGUGGGAACGUGCCCUUCUCUGCGGAAUAGCCUCGGGAAACUGAGAGUAAUACCGCAUAAGCCCUUCGGGGGAAAGAUUUAUCGGAGAAGGAUCGGCCCGCGUUGGAUUAGGUUGUUGGUGGGGUAAUGGCCCACCAAGCCGACGAUCCAUAGCUGGUUUGAGAGGAUGAUCAGCCACACUGGGACUGAGACACGGCCCAAACUCCUACGGGAGGCAGCAGGGGGGAAUCUUAGACAAUGGGUGCAACCCUGAUCUAGCCAGGCCGCGUGAGUGAUGAAGGCCUUAGGGUUGUAAAGCUCUUUCAGCUGGGAAGAUAAUGACGUAACCAGAAGAAGAAGCCCCGGCUAACUCCGG
rnacentral:rRNA from 1 species